UGAACGCUGGCGGUAUGCUUAACACAUGCAAGUCGAACGGAAACGAUACUAGCUUGCUAGUAGGCGUCGAGUGGCGGACGGGUGAGUAACGCGUAGGAAUCUGCCUGAUAGUGGGGGAUAGCCCGAAGAAAUUCGGAUUAAUACCGCAUAAUCUAUUCGUAGUAAAGUGGGGGACUUUCGAGCCUCACGCUAUCAGAUGAGCCUGCGUAAGAUUAGCUUGUUGGUAGGGUAAAAGCCUACCAAGGCGACGAUCUUUAGCUGGUCUGAGAGGAUGAUCAGCCACAUCGGGACUGAGACACGGCCCGAACUCCUACGGGAGGCAGCAGUGGGGAAUAUUGGACAAUGGGGGCAACCCUGAUCCAGCAAUACCGCGUGUGUGAAGAAGGCCUGAGGGUUGUAAAGCACUUUCAAUUGUGAAGAAAAGUUAGCGGUUAAUAACCGUUAGCCUUGACGUUAACUUUAGAAGAAGCACCGGCUAACUCCGUGCCAGCAGCCGCGGUAAUACGGAGGGUGCAAGCGUUAAUCGGAAUUACUGGGCGUAAAGCGUGCGUAGGCGGUUUAUUAAGUCAGAUGUGAAAGCCCCGGGCUUAACCUGGGAACUGCAUUUGAAACUGGUCAACUAGAGUAUGGUAGAGGAAAGUGGAAUUUUCUGGUGGUAGCCGGUGGAAAUGCGUAGAUAUCAGAGGAACAUCAAUGGCGAAGGGCAGCUUUCUGGACCAAUACUGACGCUGAGGUACGAAAGCGUGGGUAGCAAACAGGAUUAGAUACCCUGGUAGUCCACGCCGUAAACGAUGAUAACUAGCCGUUGGGGGGAUUUACCCUUUAGUGGCGAAGCUAACGCGUUAAGUUAUCCGCCUGGGGAGUACGGCCGCAAGGUUAAAACUCAAAGGAAUUGACGGGGACCCGCACAAGCGGUGGAGCAUGUGGUUUAAUUCGAUGCAACGCGAAGAACCUUACCUGGUCUUGACAUCCUGCGAACUUUCUAGAAAUAGAUUGGUGCCUUCGGGAACGCAGUGACAGGUGCUGCAUGGCUGUCGUCAGCUCGUGUCGUGAGAUGUUGGGUUAAGUCCCGUAACGAGCGCAACCCCUAUCCUUAUUUGCCAGCACAUCAUGGUGGGAACUAUAAGGAGACUGCCGGUGAUAAACCGGAGGAAGGCGGGGACGACGUCAAGUCAUCAUGGCCCUUACGACCAGGGCUACACACGUGCUACAAUGGGAAGGACAAAGAGCCGCGAAGCCGCGAGGUGUAGCUAAUCUCAUAAACCUUUUCGUAGUCCGGAUUGGAGUCUGCAACUCGACUCCAUGAAGUCGGAAUCGCUAGUAAUCGUAGAUCAGAAUGCUACGGUGAAUACGUUCCCGGGUCUUGUACACACCGCC
rnacentral:rRNA from 1 species